UCAGAUGCGAAAGCGUGGGUAGCAAACAGGAUUAGAUACCCUGGUAGUCCACGCCGUAAACGCUGUCUACUUGGAGGUUGAGGUUUUAGACUUUGGCUUUCGGCGCUAACGCAUUAAGUAGACCGCCUGGGGAGUACGGCCGCAAGGUUAAAACUCAAAUGAAUUGACGGGGGCCCGCACAAGCGGUGGAGCAUGUGGUUUAAUUCGAUGCAACGCGAAGAACCUUACCUACUCUUGACAUCCAGCGAAGCCUUUAGAGAUAGAGGCGUGCCUUCGGGAGCGCUGAGACAGGUGCUGCAUGGCUGUCGUCAGCUCGUGUUGUGAAAUGUUGGGUUAAGUCCCGCAACGAGCGCAACCCUUAUCCUUGUUUGCCAGCACAUAAUGGUGGGAACUCCAGGGAGACUGCCGGUGAUAAGCCGGAGGAAGGUGGGGACGACGUCAAGUCAUCAUGGCCCUUACGAGUAGGGCUACACACGUGCUACAAUGGCAGAUACAGAAGGCAGCGAGACAGCGAUGUUUAGCGAAUCCCUUAAAGUUUGUCGUAGUCCGGAUUGGAGUCUGCAACUCGACUCCAUAAAGUCGGAAUCGCUAGUAAUCGUGGAUCAGAAUGCCACGGUGAAUACGUUCCCGAGCCUUGUACACACCGCCC
rnacentral:rRNA from 1 species